ACGACUAAUACGACUAAUACGACUAAUGUUUGUAAUAAUCCUGCUAAAACUGAUAAAAUUAAUGUUAUGUUACAAUUUUGGUUAAAAAAGAUAAAAAAAAUAUCAUCAGUUAUUGUUUUUUGUGUUAAUUGGCAAAACAUAAAUAGUGAAAACAAUAAUAACACAAAUAUAUAUAAAAGAGAAAGUGAUGGUUAUACAAUAAGUAAAGAGCAUGAAAAUAACAAUAAGAAUGAAAUAAAUCAAUUAAACAUAAAUGAUCCUAAUUGGGAGCAACAUAACACUUACACUGUUAACUCUCAUAAUAUAUAUCAAGAUGGAUAUAACGUACAAACAAUGGGUAAGGAAAAUAGUACAAAUGUGGCACAAAUAAAUGUAGACACUUCAAUACAAUUUAAUCAGAGUAAACCAAGUCAUAACGAACUUUACCCAAAUCAAUCUUAUCCAUACGAACUAUACCCAAAUGAACCUUACCCAAACCAAUCAUAUCCAAACCAAUCAUAUCCAAACCAAUCAUAUCUUAACGAACCAUAUCCUAACGAUUCUUAUCCUAACGAUUCUUACCCAAACGAAUAUAGUAAAAAUAAAUAUAGUAAAAACGAAUAUAGUAAAAACGAGUGUAACCCCGAAAAUAGUGAAAAUGUUAAACGAAUUAGUAUUAAACAUAAGGAGUUUAUGAAUCACAUAAACAAUAAUUUAAUUAAAAAGUUAGAAGAAAUAAAUAGUAUAAUUAUGAAAAGAAAAAAGCAAUGUAAAAUAAUUUUGUUAAUAAUAUUACCAGAGAAUACUGAAUAUACAGAAGAAUAUAUUAAAUAUAUAAGUUUUUUAAAUUCUCAAAAUAUUAGUGCCAUAUUUAUAACAUCAGGUUUAAAAGAAAUUCGUGUAAAAAUAAAAAAAUUAGAAAAUUUAUUAAAAGAUUGUAUUAACACAUUUUUUAAACAAUAUAUAAUAAAUUAUGAUAAUAAGAGUCAUAAAAAUAUAUUAAGUUUUUUUAAAUAUAAUUUAAAAAAAGCUUAUAUAUUUGAAAUGUUAGAUAAAUAUGAUGAGAGUAUGAAAAUAUAUGUAAAUUUAUGUAAACUAUUUUAUGAAAACAUAAAUGAAAAAUUGUUUUUAAAUAAAAAUACAUUUUUUGAACAUGUUAUAUGUUUUAAUUCGAUUAGUAUAAGGAUGAUAUUUAUUUAUUUAUAUUUUAAAGAUUUUAAAAAAACUAUACAUCACAUUUAUACACAUAACAAAAUUAUUUUUUUAGCUUUAAUGAAUACAGAAGAAUAUAUAAAUGAAGAAGAUAAUAAAAACUUGUUGAAAAUAAUUAAUAUGUUUGGUAUAACAGGUAAAUGUGAUUUUAUAAAUUAUAUAAAAUAUUAUAAGCAUGAUAAUGUAAUAAGUAGUGAUACAUGCGAAUAUGCGAGUAGUAGUACUACUAGUCGUAAUAUGGUCGAUAGUGUAAUGAGUAUUGAGACUUACAAAAAUAUACAUAACAAUAUAAAUAUAUUGUGUAAUACAAAGGAUGAUAAAUCAACUGAAUUAUUAUAUUUAUUAUAUGAACUAAUAAUGAGAGAAUAUUUAUAUUACAAUUUACUUACAUGUAUAUAUCUAUAUUUUCAUCGUAUUAUUAAAAAAAUGAAUAUAAAUAUGCACGAUGUUGUAUUAUAUGGUAUUUAUAGUUGUUUUUGUGUAUAUUAUAAAAUAAAGGCACUUGAAAAAAAAAAAAAAUUAUUUGAUGAAUUUAAAUAUUUACAAUUUAAUAAUUAUUUUAAAGUUUUAUCAGUAUCUUUUUUAUAUGAUUUUAUUUUAAAUUUUUUAAUCGAAUUAUAUAAUAUUAUAAGUAUAAAUAAAAUAAUGAAUUUAGGAACAAUUGUUAUUUAUUUUUUAUGUAAAAUAUAUUAUGAAAAAAAAAAUUAUAUGUUUUCAUUAUAUUUAUUGAUGCUUUUUUUUAAUAAUGAAGAAGAAUUAUUUAUUUUUAAUUCGAUUGAUGAUACUGUUCUAAAAAGUAGAAAAUAUGAUUUGAUUCAUUUUUAUGAGUCUUUUUGGCGAUUUAGUGGUUAUAAAACGUACUUAAAACCUUGCUCCAGAGACGUUCAAGAACCUAUGAUAUGUUUAGUACUUAGUUGCCUUGGGUUUUUAUUAAAUUAUGACAAGGUGAGUACAAACAUAGAUAAAGAAUAUUUAAAAAAUGAAUCUUUUGAUAUAAAAGAGUAUGAUGCAUUAUUUAUUGAAAUAUGUUUUGGGUAUUUAAAUAUUUUAAUUAUGAAUAAAAAAUAUAAGGAACAGAAAGAGUUCAGUGAUUUUAUGCAAAAGUAUUUCAAAUUUGUAGAUAAAAAACAAUCUUAUUUACCUUUAUAUAAUAUUGAUAUAUUUCUUUGUGAUAUUUAUAUUAACUUAUAUUACUUAUUGGAAAAUAAUAAUUAUAGAAUUUUUUUAAGAAUAAAAAACAAAAGUCAUGUUAAUUUUUUUUUUUUACCAUUACUUGGAAUCGUAAUAAAUAAAGAAAUAUAUAUGUUUAAUUUAAAAUAUUCUAAUAGUUAUGAAGAUAUUCAUUUUUUAUUUGGUCAACUUUUGAAUAAUGAUGAGGAUGAUGAGGAUUAUGCGGGUUAUGAGCAUGAUAAUGUUAAUGAUGUAUGUAAAAAUGAUUUGUUUUUACGAAAGUAUAUAACACAAGAAAUGGAAACAUCUUUGGCGCAGAUGUUUACUAUCACUGAUAGUACCAAUAAUAGUCGCAAUCAGAAUAAUAAUAGUUUUUUACGGUUAAACAAUAAAAAUAGUAUUAGUCUUAUAUUAAAAAAAAGCAAAAUGAAUGAAGUAUACAUAGAACAAGUUGAAUUAUAUAUGUAUAUAUAUAAAAAAAUUAUAAAAUUAAAAAUAAAAAAAAUUAUAACUUGUAAAUUAAAAACAGAGUAUUUAGAAGAAGUAAAUGUGUUAAAAGACAUGAAUAAAAAAUAUGAAGGAGAUUUAAACAAAACAAAAUUCAAUACAAAUAAUAAUAUGACACAUAUGAUUGAACAAAAUGUAGAGGAAAAUAAUAUGGUUACAUUGUUAUGUACUGCUGAAACAAAAAAAAAUGAAACAAAAGAGUUAACGAAAGAGAAUGUUAUAUAUAAAAUACAUACACCAACGGAAAUAGGAAUAGAAGAAAAAAACACAAACUUGAAAACUUAUGAUUCAAUUAUUAAUAAUGAAAAUAAAAAAAAAUAUAUAUUAUUUGAAAUAAGGAAGAAUAAUAAAGAUGAAGAUAUUGCAACUAUUUAUAAAUUAAAAGAAAGAUUAUAUUUAAAUAAAUGUGAAAAUAAAAUAGUUGUUAAUGUAAAUAAAUCAUUAUAUAAAAAAUUAUCAAAUAAAUACGUCAAUUAUUUUAUUUAUCCUAAUAAUAAUGUUUUAUAUUUAAAUGAAUAUAACAUUGGUUAUAUUUUUGUGAACUAUUCAAAAUAUAUUAACAAUUUUGAGUUUUAUGUAUCUUAUACAUCAGAUAAUGCUAAUAACUUAUCUUUGUUUUUUUUAACAAAACAUGAACAUGUCAUAAGUGUACAACAAAUCGAAGAAAAAGAACAAGUUGCAUUUAUUAAGGAUACAAAUAUAUUUAAAUUGUUAGAAGGUGAAAAAAGGAAAAAAAAAAAAUAAUGACAAUUUGGAUAAAACUGUUAGCAAAAAAAAGCGAACCGAGUUAGGUAUUAUACCAAAUAAAGUCGGAUUAAAUUCGAAAUUUGUUGAAAAA
ensembl:lncRNA